rnacentral:rRNA from 1 species
AUACGGAGGGUGCAAGCGUUACUCGGAAUCACUGGGCGUAAAGCGCGCGCAGGCGGCUUGAUAAGUUGGAUGUGAAAGCCUACGUCUCAACCGUAGAACUGCAUCCAAAACUGUCAGGCUAGAGUGUGGGAGAGGAAGAUGGAAUUAGUUGUGUAGGGGUAAAAUCCGUAGAGAUAACUAGGAAUACCAAAAGCGAAGGCAAUCUUCUGGAACACUACUGACGCUGAGGCGCGAAGGCGUGGGGAGCAAACAGGAUUAGAAACCCUAGUAGUCC